GCUGGUGUGGCUCAGUGGAUAGAGCAUCAGCCUGAGGACUGAAGGGUCCCAGGUUCCAUUCCAGGCAGGGGCA
rnacentral:tRNA from 1 species